CAGUCGCCGCGGGAAAACGAAGGGUGCAAGCGUUAAUCGGAAUUACUGGGCGUAAAGCGCGCGUAGGUGGUUCAUUAAGUUGGAUGUGAAAGCCCUGGGCUCAACCUGGGAACUGCAUCCAAAACUGGUGAGCUAGAGUACGGUAGAGGGUAGUGGAAUUUCCUGUGUAGCGGUGAAAUGCGUAGAUAUAGGAAGGAACACCAGUGGCGAAGGCGACUACCUGGACUGAUACUGACACUGAGGUGCGAAAGCGUGGGGAGCAAACAGGAUUAGAUACCCCCGUAGUCCCUGUCUCUUAUAC
rnacentral:rRNA from 1 species